rnacentral:rRNA from 1 species
GAUGAACGCUAGCGGCAGGCCUAAUACAUGCAAGUCGAACGGUAAGUGUAGUAGCAAUAUUAUACGAGAGUGACGUACGGGUGCGUAACACGUAUGCAACCUACCCUUUACAGGAGGAUAGCUCGGGGAACUCGAAUUAACCCUCCAUGAUAUAAUUGAAUGGCAUCAUUUAAUUAUUAAAACUCCGGUGGUAAAGGAUGGGCAUGCGUCUGAUUAGUUAGUUGGUGCGGGUAACGGCCCACCAAGACGAUGAUCAGUAGGGGAACUGAGAGGUUGAUCCCCCACACUGGCACUGAGAUACGGGCCAGACUCCUACGGGUGGCUG